UGGAGAGGGAACAACCAAGGGAGACUGGCAACUUUCUGCCUUGAGUUACUGGAGGAGCUGAUGUCAUCGAGGCUUGAAACAUGACUAGAAGAUAAGAUUUGACUGAAGGGGCCCUUGGAGAUCAUUCUGCCUGUAUCCAUGAGGAGAUCAGAGUUUUGAGCAGUGAGCUCUUAACUGACUGUGGAGAAGAGCUUCCGUUGUGCAGUACUCUCUUGAGUUGAAUGAAGAGCAAACUGGCAGACGUGGUAGCUUAUGCCUGUAAUUCCAGCCCUUUUG